GCAUCAGGCCGCAGGUCGCCUUUGGGGGUGGCUUCCCACACAGCCGAGGCCCCAGAGGCUGCCUUGAGCGUGGCGGGGGCCAGGAGUCCGGGGCGGGGGAGCCCGGGGUUUGCUCCUCGGGACGGAGGAAGAUUCCAGGCUCAGCCGCCUCCAGUCUGCAGCCCUGCGAACCGCCUGCCACGCGCAUUCCUGAGCAGGGCUCUGCAGGGCGCGGCGUGCACGGCUCUGGAACCUGCCAGGAUGCGCUGAUGUGGCAACUCACUCAGGGUGGCAUCGUUCCAUGGGCAAGCACCCCUUAGAGAAAUGAGGAAUGACUCAGAUGAUCGGCUUCUACGAGUCUCUGCUGCCAUUUUAGGGGCCCCGUAAGGUUCCAGCUGUUUUUUGUUUUGCUUUGUUUGCUGUUUGGUUGGACGACAACGUGAGUAGGACUCCUGUCCCAAGGGGAGGACGCGUCCAGCCCGCCCGCCACGUGUCCAGCCUGCUCUCCGGAGCUGCACCAGAGCCUGUGUGGAAAGGAGAAGACGCAGCUCUCCCUGGGAGAGGCCUCAGCACAGCGAUGCGAACCUCUCACACGCAUGCAGAAUUCUCCCACGUGUGUCAGGGAGCCCAGGUCCACCUCCCAGGAAGGCCGGCUCCCCAGCGUCCAGCACGUGGCCUGCUCUGCAGGGGAGCGGGAGGCCGGGGUCCCCCACACAGCUUCUCUCCGUCCACCUGCGCGGAGGCUCCUGCACAGGAACCCUGGGCUGCCAGAACAACAUCCCACAGACUGGGCAGCUUAAACAAGAGAUUGAGCGUCUCGCACUCUGCAGUCUGGAAGGCCAAGGUCAAGGUGUAGGCAGGGCUGGUUCCUCAGUGGCUCUGCAGGACGACUGUGUCCCAGGCUACUUCCCUUUGCUGAUCGAUGGCCCUUGGCCCUCUGUGUCCUCACAGGGUGGCCCUUCUGUGCACGUCUGCAUCCUGAUCUCUUCUGGUAAGGACCCCAAUCGGAUUGGAAGAGGGCCCACCCUAAUGGCCUCCUUUUGGCUUAAUGAUCUCUCGGGAGACCCUGUCUCCAGGUACAGUCACAUUCUGGGUACUGGGAGUUGGGCUUGAACACAGGGCUUGGAGAGCACUGUUUUGCCCAUAACAGGGCCUCUGGGGAAAAGUUCAAAAAUCUGUCAAAAGAAGGAGAAGACAGGAGAAUCGCAUCGCUUGAACCCGGGAGGCGGAGGUUGCAGUCAGCCAAGAUUGCGCCACUUCACUCCAGCCUGGGCGACAGAGGAAGACUCUGUCUCAAAAAAAAAAAAAAAAAAAAAAAAAAAGAACGGUAGAUCCUUCUGUUCUGCCUGGAAGGUUGUCCACGAGGCCUUAGUGAGUGAAAGAGCCGUUCUGGGGGCGUCUAAACUGUAUGUUCCCAUGUGUAUGUUCAGGCUACUGACCUGUAGCUCGAGUGGAAUUGCAGGGGCCUGUCUGCAUCAUAGACAGGGCACACUUUGAAUUUUCCUGACAACGUGCGUUUUAUCUAUUAUAGGCACACAUUUUAAAAACUGGAAAUGGAAACCAGAGCAAACACACGAAAACAAAAACCCCCAAACAGAUGAGUAAGGGAAACCACUCAGUAUGUGUAAACCGUGCCACCAACGUUCCAGUUCACAGCAGCCAGAUCACAGGAAGCUGCCUGGCACAGGCGCCCACUUCCUGGUGUCGGGUGGCCCAGAAACCGCCUUGUCAUCAGCGUUGCUUGGUGAGCACAGCCCCAGGCACAGCCCCAGGGCUCGACUGUCUUUCUGAGCCCAACUCCCUCCUGGUGGGAACAUUCAGUAUGUCUUCCUCGGAGGAGGCCAUGUCAACCCUGACCCAGCCACUCCCUCUAUCUUCUUCUUCUUCUUCUUCUUCUUUUGAGACUGAAUGUCGCUCUGUCGUCCAGGCUGGAGUGUCGUGGUGUGAUCUCGGCUCGCUGUAACCUCUGCCUUCUGGGUUCAAGUGAUUCUCCUGUCUCAGCCUCUCAAGUAGCUGGGACUACAGGCACGAGCCACCAUGCCCAACUAAUUUUUGUAUUUUUAGCAGAGGUGGAGUUUCACUAUGUUGGUCAGGAUGGUCUCGAUCUCUUGACCUCAUGAUCUGCCUGCCUCGGCCUCCCAAAGUGCUGGGAUUACAGGCAUGAGCCACCACGCCCGGCCCUGUAUUUUUUAUUUUUUAUUUUUUAUUUAGUAGAGAUGGGUUUUUCUCAUGUCGCCCAGGCUGAUCUUGAGCUCAGGCAAUCCACCUGCCUUGGUCUCCCUAAAUGCUGGGAUUAUAGGCACGAGCCGCUGCGCCCGGCCGAUCUGCCCUUCUUUUUUUGUUUGUUUGUUUGUUUGUUUGUUUUGAGACGGAGUCUCCCUCUGUCUCCCAGGCUGGAGUGCAGUGGCGCAAUCUCAGCUCACUGCAAGCUCCGCCUCCUGGAUUCAGGC
rnacentral:lncRNA from 1 species